CCUACGGGAGGCUGCAGUGAGGAAUAUUGGUCAAUGGGAGGAAUCCUGAACCAGCCAUGCCGCGUGCAGGACGACGGCUCUACGAGUUGUAAACUGCUUUUGUACCGGGGUAAAAUGCUCUACGAGUAGGGCUUUGAAAGUACGGUACGAAUAAGGAUCGGCUAACUCCGGGCCAGCAGCCGCGGUAAUACGGAGGAUCCGAGCGUUACCCGGAUUUAUUGGGUUUAAAGGGUGCGUAGGCGGGUUGUCAAGUCAGCGGUAAAAUCGUGGAGCUCAACUCCAUCCAGCCGUUGAAACUGAUGAUCUUGAGUGGGCGAGAAGUAUGCGGAAUGCGUGGUGUAGCGGUGAAAUGCAUAGAUAUCACGCAGAACUCCGAUUGCGAAGGCAGCAUACCGGCGCCCGACUGACGCUGAAGCACGAAAGCGUGGGUAUCGAACAGGAUUAGAUACCCUGGUAGUC
rnacentral:rRNA from 1 species